AGUUGAUCUUCAAUUUGAUAUGCCCAUUGUUGAGUCUACAAGUUGAUCCUCAAUCUGAUAUGCCCACAAGUUGACCUUCUCUCUGAAGGUCAGAGUGCGUAAUGUACCACUCAGAUAUAGAUUUAUUAUUGAAAAUGAUAACUCAUCAUAUAUUAUUGAGAAUGAUGAUUUCAUGACUUAUUCAGAAGCAGUCAUGAGUAGUGACUCU
rnacentral:lncRNA from 1 species